AAAAAGAGAACACUGGGAUGAGCAGCAGAUAGUGUAUAGGAUAACUCCAGAUAACCUGGAGUUAUCCCAUACACUAUCUGCUGCUCAUCCCAGUACACUACUUCCAUU
rnacentral:miRNA from 1 species